rnacentral:rRNA from 1 species
GACGAACUGUUCUAACGUUAUUCGGAAUCACUGGGCUUAAAGGGCGCGUAGGCUGUUUGUUAAGCGGGGUCUGAAAUCCCUCGGCUCAACCGAGGAACUGGGCUUCGAACUGGCAGACUAGAGUGAAGUAGGGGUAAGCGGAACUUGCGGUGGAGCGGUGAAAUGCUUUGAUAUCGCAAGGAACACCAGUGGCGAAGGCGACUUACUGGGCCGUAACUGACGCUGAGGCGCGAAAGCGUGGGGAGCGAACAGGAUUAGAUACCCCGGUAGUCCCUGAGCGGG